ACCAAUUAAAUUAUUUUUGAGGUAAAAACUUUGGACUCAAACCCAAUUUGCGUCUGAAACUUGAAUGGAGAAGGAAGGGUCGUGCAAUACAGAGGAAGCCAACAAAAAAAAUAAUAAUCAAAAGGUGCCGUGUGUGUAUAUAUGUACAUAUAUGUAUAUGUUAUAUAUAUAUAUACACGUGGAUGGCACAAAGUAGUAGCUCAAGUCUAGCUUCAAUUGGGUAUUUCAAAUCAAGCCAAAUUCCUUGCCUAUAAAUAUUAGGCACUCAUUCAAAGAGGGGAGCAAAAGGAAGUAAGUCGAAACUUCGGACAUCCAUAACUCUCUCAAACAUCCAAACAAUCGUGUUCUUCAAGCUCGUGGAGAAUCAACAAGCAAAAAUAAUACAUGUGUCGAUUCAUCCCCAACAAAGCCGAAGACCACGCACCACGUGAAACUCCUCGUGGUCCCAUUUCAUUCAAGAUUAAGCCUAAACCACCAUUGAAGAAAUGACAAGUCUGAUUCAAGAUCAAGUGUCAACCACCCUUGGAUCAAAUUCGACUCCAAAGAAAUGUAGCAAAGCCAAACCUUUGGAGGAAACCAGAAAGCUCUUUGUCCAAAGAAAACACGCAUAUUCUUCACCAAGCUCACAAAGAAUCAACAAGCACAACUACAUGUGUCGAUUCAACCGUAACAAAGCCGAAAACCACUCGCCACGUGAAGCUCCUUGUGGUCCAUUUCAUUCAAGAUCAAGCUUUGACGGUCCUUGAAGAAAUCACAAGUCGGAUUCAAGGUCCAAUGUCCAUCACCUUUGAAUCAAAAUACGAAUCCAGAGAUAUGAAGUGAAUUUGAACCUUUGGAAGAAAACUAGAAAGCUCUCUAGCCAAAGAAAAUAUUCGUGUUCUACAUCAAGCUCGUGGAAAAUCAACAAGAACAACAAAUAUGUGCCAGUUCAUCCACACAAAAGCUAAAGACCACCCACCACGUGAAGCUCUUUGUGAUCCCAUUUCAUUCAAGAUCAAGCCUCAACGACUCUUAAAGAAAUCACAAGUCUGAUUCAAGAUCAAGUGUCCACCACCCUUGAAUCAAAGUCGACUCUACAGAAAUGAAGUAAAUUCAAACCUUUGUGGUGAACGAAAAAGCUCUCUGGGUAAAGCAAACACUUGUGUUCUUCAUCAAGCUUGUGGAAUAUCAACAAGCACAACAAAUAUGUGUCGAUUAAUUCCCAACAAAGCCAAGGAUCAUCAACCAUGUGACAUUACUUGUGGUCCUGAUUGUUCAAGAACAAGCCUCGACGGCGGCCCUUGAAAAAAUCACAAAUCCGAUUCAAGUGCACCACCUUUGAUCAAAUUUGACUUCAGAAAGCUCUUUGGCCAAAACAAACACUCAUGUUCUUCAUCAAGCUUGUGGAGAGUCAACAAGCACAACAAGCACGUGCCGAUUCAUCCACUAAUAAAACCAUGUGAA
rnacentral:lncRNA from 1 species